rnacentral:rRNA from 1 species
AUUGAACGCUGGCGGCGGGCCUAACACAUGCAAGUCGAACGAGUGGCGGACGGGUGAGUAGUGUAUGGGCACCUGCCUGAUGGAGGGGGCUAACUACUGGAAACGGUAGCUAAUACCGCAUACAAUCAGAUGUGCCCAGAUGGCAUUAGCUUGUUGGUGGGGUAACGGCUCACCAAGGCGACGAUCCCUAGCUGGUCUGAGAGGAUGACCAGCCACACUGGAACUGAGACACGGCCAAGACUCCUACGGGAGGCAGCAGUGGGGAAUAUUGCACAAUGGGCGCAAGCCUGACGAAGCCAUGCCGCGUGUAUGAAGAAGGCCUUCGGGUUGUAAAGUACUUUCAGCGGGGAGGCGUUACCCGCAGAAGAAGCACCGGCUAACUCCGUGCCAGCAGCCGCGGUAAUAC